CCUACGGGAGGCUGCAGUGAGGAAUAUUGGUCAAUGGCCGAGAGGCUGAACCAGCCAAGUCGCGUGAGGGAAGACGGCCCUACGGGUUGUAAACCUCUUUUGUCGGGGAGCAAAGCGAGUCACGUGUGACUCAUUGAGAGUACCCUAAGAAAAAGCAUCGGCUAACUCCGUGCCAGCCGCCGCGGUACUACGGGGGAUGCGAGCGUUAUCCGGAUUUAGUGGGUUAAAAGGGUGCGCAGGGGAGGUGCAAGUCAGCGGGCAAUUUGCGGGGCUCAACCCCGUACUGCCGUUGAAACUGCAUGCCUUGAGUGCGCGAGAGGUAUGCGGAAUGCGUGGUGUAGCGGUGAAAUGCAUAGAGAUCAGGCGGAACUCCGAUGGCGAAGGCAGCAUACCGGCGCGCAACUGACGCUCAUGCACGAAAGCGUGGGUAUCGAACAGGAUUAGAUACCCGUGUAGUC
rnacentral:rRNA from 1 species